UACGAAGGGGGCUAGCGUUGCUCGGAAUCACUGGGCGUAAAGGGUGCGUAGGCGGGUCUUUAAGUCAGAGGUGAAAUCCUGGAGCUCAACUCCAGAACUGCCUUUGAUACUGAGGGUCUUGAGUAUGACAGAGGUGAGUGGAACUGCGAGUGUAGAGGUGAAAUUCGUAGAUAUUCGCAAGAACACCGGUGGCGAAGGCGGCGAGCUGGUCCAUUACUGACGCUGAGGCGCGACAGCGUGGGGAGCAAACAGG
rnacentral:rRNA from 1 species